rnacentral:snRNA from 1 species
GUGUUCACUUUGGCAGCACAUAUACUAAAAAAUUGGAACAAUACAGAGAAGAUUAGCAUGGUCCCUGCGCAAAGAU